UGCACCCAUGGCGGAAUUGGCAGACGCGCAAGAUUAAGGAUCUUGUCGGGAGUUUUCCCGGUGGAAGUUCGAAUCUUCUUGGGUGCAUCC
rnacentral:tRNA from 1 species